AACCUGCCCAUAAGACUGGGAUAACUCCGGGAAACCGGGGCUAAUACCGGAUAACAUUUUGAACUGCAUGGUUCGAAAUUGAAAGGCGGCUUCGGCUGUCACUUAUGGAUGGACCCGCGUCGCAUUAGCUAGUUGGUGAGGUAACGGCUCACCAAGGCAACGAUGCGUAGCCGACCUGAGAGGGUGAUCGGCCACACUGGGACUGAGACACGGCCCAGACUCCUACGGGAGGCAGCAGUAGGGAAUCUUCCGCAAUGGACGAAAGUCUGACGGAGCAACGCCGCGUGAGUGAUGAAGGCUUUCGGGUCGUAAAACUCUGUUGUUAGGGAAGAACAAGUGCUAGUUGAAUAAGCUGGCACCUUGACGGUACCUAACCAGAAAGCCACGGCUAACUACGUGCCAGCAGCCGCGGUAAUACGUAGGUGGCAAGCGUUAUCCGGAAUUAUUGGGCGUAAAGCGCGCGCAGGUGGUUUCUUAAGUCUGAUGUGAAAGCCCACGGCUCAACCGUGGAGGGUCAUUGGAAACUGGGAGACUUGAGUGCAGAAGAGGAAAGUGGAAUUCCAUGUGUAGCGGUGAAAUGCGUAGAGAUAUGGAGGAACACCAGUGGCGAAGGCGACUUUCUGGUCUGUAACUGACACUGAGGCGCGAAAGCGUGGGGAGCAAACAGGAUUAGAUACCCUGGUAGUCCACGCCGUAAACGAUGAGUGCUAAGUGUUAGAGGGUUUCCGCCCUUUAGUGCUGAAGUUAACGCAUUAAGCACUCCGCCUGGGGAGUACGGCCGCAAGGCUGAAACUCAAAGGAAUUUGACGGGGGCCCGCACAAGCGGUGGAGCAUGUGGUUUAAUUUGAAGCAACGCGAAGAACCUUACCAGGUCUUGACAUCCUUUGAAAACCCUAGAGAUAGGGCUUUUCCUUCGGGAGCAGAGUGACAGGUGGUGCAUGGUUGUUGUCAGCUCGUGUCGUGAGAUGUUGGGUUAAGUCCCGCAACGAGCGCAACCCUUGAUCUUAGUUGCCAUCAUUAAGUUGGGCACUUUAAGGUGACUGCCGGUGACAAACCGGAGGAAGGUGGGGAUGACGUCAAAUCAUCAUGCCCCUUAUGACCUGGGCUACACACGUGGUACAAUGGACGGUACAAAGAGCUGCAAGACCGCGAGGUGGAGCUAAUUUCAUAAAACCGUUUUCAGUUUGGAUUGUAGGCUGCAACUCGCCUACAUGAAGCUGGAAUCGCUAGUAAUCGCGGAUCAGCAUGCCGCGGUGAAUACGUUUCCGGGCCUUGUACA
rnacentral:rRNA from 1 species